GCCAGACACAGUGGUGCACACCUGUAGUCCCAGCUCCUCAGGAAGCAGAGGCAGGAAGAUCACUUGAGCCCAGGAUUUCUUGGCUGUAGUGUGCUACACUGAUUGGGUGUCUGCACUAAGUUUGGCAUCCAUAUGGUGACCUCCUUGCAAAGGGGACCACCAGGUUGCCUAAAGAGGGGUGAACUGGCCCAGGUCAGAAACAGCAGGUCAGAAUUCCCAUGCUGAUCAGUAGAGGGAUUGUACCUGUGAAUAGCCACUGCACUCCAGCCUGGCUGAUAUAGCAAGUCUCUGUCUCU
ensembl:misc_RNA Metazoa_SRP Metazoan signal recognition particle RNA